UGCUUUGGGCAAAGCAAGCAGUCGAAACUGGAAUGGCACAAAGGUAAUUAGCAAGGCCCCUGUGCACAGAUGAUACACAAAUCUGUGAAGGGUUCCAUAUUUGA
ensembl:snRNA U6 U6 spliceosomal RNA